CGGUUCGAGUCCGCUUACCUCCACUGAACCACCUUCUAAUUGUCGAAUUUACGGAGACUUCGGUUGGUAGUGAUUUAGAUUUGUUUUACAUCAUUGAACCUAGCUUCUUAUCAUUCCUCCAAAUCAAUUGAAAAAUAGAUUUGGUUGAUAGGAUGCUGGGCUCACUGCAAGAUAAAAAUUGCAAGUGUGUUCAGUA
rnacentral:misc_RNA from 1 species